UACAGAGGUCUCAAGCGUUGUUCGGAUUCAUUGGGCGUAAAGGGUGCGUAGGUGGCGGGGUAAGUCAGGUGUGAAAUUUCGGAGCUCAACUCCGAAACUGCAUUUGAUACUGCCUUGCUUGAGGACUGGAGAGGAGACUGGAAUUCACGGUGUAGCAGUGAAAUGCGUAGAGAUCAGGUGGAACACCGAUGGCGAAGGCAGCCUCCUGGACGGGUACUGACGCUGAGGCGCGAAAGCGUGGGGAGCGAACGGG
rnacentral:rRNA from 1 species